rnacentral:rRNA from 1 species
CCUACGGGAGGCAGCAGUGAGGAAUAUUGGUCAAUGGGCGUAAGCCUGAACCAGCCAAGUCGCGUGAGGGAUGAAGGUUCUAUGGAUCGUAAACCUCUUUUAUAAGGGAAUAAAGUGUGGGACGUGUCCUGUUUUGUAUGUACCUUAUGAAUAAGGAUCGGCUAACUCCGUGCCAGCAGCCGCGGUAAUACGGAGGAUCCGAGCGUUAUCCGGAUUUAUUGGGUUUAAAGGGUGCGUAGGCGGCGUUUUAAGUUAGCGGUGAAAGGUGGUGGCUCAACCAUGGAAUUGCCGUUGAAACUGGGGGGCUUGAGUAUGGUUGAGGCAGGCGGAAUGCGUGGUGUAGCGGUGAAAUGCUUAGAUAUCACGCAGAACCCCGAGUGCGAAGGCAGCCUGCCAAGCCAUAACUGACGCUGAUGCACGAAAGCGUGGGGAUCAAACAGGAUUAGAUACCCCUGUAGUC